rnacentral:rRNA from 1 species
UACGGAGGGUGCAAGCGUUAAUCGGAAUUACUGGGCGUAAAGCGCACGUAGGCGGCUAUUUAAGUCAGAUGUGAAAGCCCUGGGCUUAACCUGGGAACUGCAUCUGAUACUGGGUAGCUAGAAUGUGGGAGAGGAGAGUGGAAUUUCCGGUGUAGCGGUGAAAUGCAUAGAGAUCGGAAGGAACACCAGUGGCGAAGGCGGCUCUCUGGACCAACAUUGACGCUGAGGUGCGAAAGCGUGGGUAGCAAACAGG